rnacentral:rRNA from 1 species
AUUGAACGCUGGCGGCAGGCUUAACACAUGCAAGUCGAGCGGAGAUGAGGUGCUUGCACCUUAUCUUAGCGGCGGACGGGUGAGUAAUGCUUAGGAAUCUGCCUAUUAGUGGGGGACCACAUUCCGAAAGGAAUGCUAAUACCGCAUACGUCCUACGGGAGAAAGCAGGGGAUCUUCGGACCUUGCGCUAAUAGAUGAGCCUAAGUCGGAUUAGCUAGUGGAUGGGGUAAAGGCCUACCAAGGCGACGAUCUGUAGCGGGUCUGAGAGGAUGAUCCGCCACACUGGGACUGAGACACGGCCCAGACUCCUACGGGAGGCAGCAGUGGGGAAUAUUGGACAAUGGGGGGAACCCUGAUCCAGCCAUGCCGCGUGUGUGAAGAAGGCCUUAUGGUUGUAAAGCACUUUAAGCGAGGAGGAGGCUACUGAGACUAAUACUCUUGGAUAGUGGACGUUACUCGCAGAAUGAGCACCGGCUAACUCUGUGCCAGCCGCCGCAGUAACAC